AUUGAACGCUGGCGGCAGGCCUAACACAUGCAAGUCGAGCGGAUGACGGGAGCUUGCUCCUUGAUUCAGCGGCGGACGGGUGAGUAAUGCCUAGGAAUCUGCCUGGUAGUGGGGGACAACGUUUCGAAAGGAACGCUAAUACCGCAUACGUCCUACGGGAGAAAGCAGGGGACCUUCGGGCCUUGCGCUAUCAGAUGAGCCUAGGUCGGAUUAGCUUGUUGGUGAGGUAAUGGCUCACCAAGGCGACGAUCCGUAACUGGUCUGAGAGGAUGAUCAGUCAAGCGGGAACUGGGACACGGUCCAGACUCAUACGGGAGGCAGCAGUGGGGAAUAUUGGACAAUGGGCGAAAGCCUGAUCCAGCCAUGCCGCGUGUGUGAAGAAGGUCUUCGGAUUGUAAAGCACUUUAAGUUGGGAGGAAGGGUUGUAGAUUAAUACUCUGCAAUUUUGACGUUACCGACAGAAUAAGCACCGGCUAACUCUGUGCCAGCAGCCGCCGUAAAAC
rnacentral:rRNA from 1 species